UUAAAUUGAAGAGUUUGAUCAUGGCUCAGAUUGAACGCUGGCGGCAGGCCUAACACAUGCAAGUCGAACGGUAACAGGAAGCAGCUUGCUGCUUCGCUGACGAGUGGCGGACGGGUGAGUAAUGUCUGGGAAACUGCCUGAUGGAGGGGGAUAACUACUGGAAACGGUGGCUAAUACCGCAUAACGUCGCAAGACCAAAGAGGGGGACCUUCGGGCCUCUUGCCAUCAGAUGUGCCCAGAUGGGAUUAGCUAGUUGGUGAGGUAACGGCUCACCAAGGCGACGAUCCCUAGCUGGUCUGAGAGGAUGACCAGCCACACUGGAACUGAGACACGGUCCAGACUCCUACGGGAGGCAGCAGUGGGGAAUAUUGCACAAUGGGCGCAAGCCUGAUGCAGCCAUGCCGCGUGUAUGAAGAAGGCCUUCGGGUUGUAAAGUACUUUCAGCGGGGAGGAAGGUGUUGUGGUUAAUAACCACAGCAAUUGACGUUACCCGCAGAAGAAGCACCGGCUAACUCCGUGCCAGCAGCCGCGGUAAUACGGAGGGUGCAAGCGUUAAUCGGAAUUACUGGGCGUAAAGCGCACGCAGGCGGUCUGUCAAGUCGGAUGUGAAAUCCCCGGGCUCAACCUGGGAACUGCAUUCGAAACUGGCAGGCUUGAGUCUUGUAGAGGGGGGUAGAAUUCCAGGUGUAGCGGUGAAAUGCGUAGAGAUCUGGAGGAAUACCGGUGGCGAAGGCGGCCCCCUGGACAAAGACUGACGCUCAGGUGCGAAAGCGUGGGGAGCAAACAGGAUUAGAUACCCUGGUAGUCCACGCCGUAAACGAUGUCUACUUGGAGGUUGUGCCCUUGAGGCGUGGCUUCCGGAGCUAACGCGUUAAGUAGACCGCCUGGGGAGUACGGCCGCAAGGUUAAAACUCAAAUGAAUUGACGGGGGCCCGCACAAGCGGUGGAGCAUGUGGUUUAAUUCGAUGCAACGCGAAGAACCUUACCUGGUCUUGACAUCCACGGAAGUUUUCAGAGAUGAGAAUGUGCCUUCGGGAACCGUGAGACAGGUGCUGCAUGGCUGUCGUCAGCUCGUGUUGUGAAAUGUUGGGUUAAGUCCCGCAACGAGCGCAACCCUUAUCCUUUGUUGCCAGCGAUUAGGUCGGGAACUCAAAGGAGACUGCCAGUGAUAAACUGGAGGAAGGUGGGGAUGACGUCAAGUCAUCAUGGCCCUUACGACCAGGGCUACACACGUGCUACAAUGGCGCAUACAAAGAGAAGCGACCUCGCGAGAGCAAGCGGACCUCAUAAAGUGCGUCGUAGUCCGGAUUGGAGUCUGCAACUCGACUCCAUGAAGUCGGAAUCGCUAGUAAUCGUGGAUCAGAAUGCCACGGUGAAUACGUUCCCGGGCCUUGUACACACCGCCCGUCACACCAUGGGAGUGGGUUGCAAAAGAAGUAGGUAGCUUAACCUUCGGGAGGGCGCUUACCACUUUGUGAUUCAUGACUGGGGUGAAGUCGUAACAAGGUAACCGUAGGGGAACCUGCGGUUGGAUCACCUCCUUACCUUAAAGAA
rnacentral:rRNA from 1 species